rnacentral:lncRNA from 1 species
CAGCCACAGCAAUGUGGGAUCCAAGCUGUGUCUGCAACCUACACCACAGCUCAUGGCAAUGCCAUAUCCUUAACCCACUGAGCAAGGCUAGGGAUCGAACCUGCAUCCUCAUGGACACUAUAUUGGGUUCUUACCCCACUGAGCCACAAUGGGAACUCCAAAUAUAAUAAAGUUAUUUCAAUAUAUAAAAUGAAGACUAGUGGUUUCACAUCCAAAAGAUAGCUAAAAUGUCUAACACUUUGGUCUAUUUAUCAAAAGUUGUUUUCCCCUUAAAAUUUUAUUAUAUAUUUUUAUAUAAAAAUAAUAUUUUUCAUAUUGUAUUAUAAGCAGAUACAUUUAUUGGUUAUAUGAGAUUUGAUGAUAAAAUGCUGCUUUAUUUGCCUAUUAUCCUGUGGUUUGAUUUCUAAAUAUUUCUCCAAAUUUUCAUUUUUAUUAUUAAUCCUGUGAAAGAAAAAUUAUGCAUUAUUUUUGUUUGUUUUUCUGUCACAUGUUCAGCAUGUGGAAGUUCCUGGGCCAGGGGUCAAACCUGUGCCACACAGCAGUGACCUAAACCACAGCAGUGACAAUAAUGGAUCCUUAACUAGCUGUGCCACAGGAGAACUCCUACAUUAAGUUUUUUACAGUCAUAAUUCUAAAAUCAAAUUAGUUAAGGCAAUAUUGAAACCAAAGAUGAAUUUGAGGGAGUUUUGGUAUAUUGUCAAAAAUGUUUUAUGAAAAUUUGUAUUUUUUUAACAUGAACUUCCAUAAAAUGGUAAAGGUAUGUCUACCUGUUCACAUGGUAAUUGCUGUAUUAGCCAAUAAUAUGGAUAAUAAAUAAAACAUACAGGAUAAAAAAGAUAAUAAAUACAAUUCAAAUAAAAUAGAAGCCAAAGAUGAUUUUUCAAGGGAUCACAGAAAAUAAUAUUUGAAUUUUGAAUUUUGUACAGCCAUUAACUACAACCAAUCAGACUGCCAGGUGACCAUGUAAUACAUUUUGUAUAUGCUGAGGAAAAGUUGUAAAUAUAUAAAUAUCUGUGUUCAUCCCCUGUAACAUAUGUAGAUUUUCACUGAACAUAAAACCUGGAAGGAUAUGAGAUGCCUCCAAAUGCUUCAGAGAGGCUAAGAAUCUCAAGAUGCAUUCAGAAAAGUAAAAGCAUGUUCACAUAGCAUAUUUUUAGGCAGAUAACUAUUAAGGAAGAGAGUAAUCAAAGCAAAAAUGAUGACCCUAGUCUUACUUUAGUCAAUACAAAUUAACAUGUAAAAUCAUGGAUAAAGCCAUUCCAUAAAUUAGUAAUGCCUUGUUAAUCUUCAUUAGAGAGAGAGGAAAGACUUGACAAUUAAAAGGAAAAAGAAAAUAUGGUAACUAGCUGGCACGUUAACAGAUGUUACGCAAAAUUCAUUAUUGUGUAUUUUGCCCAACGUUGUUGAAGAGGACUUGUGGUGGGGAAAAGACCACCAAGAAAACAAGCAGGGGAUUAAUUAAAUGGGGUGAUUUCUUCACAGCUCUCCUCAUCAUUUAUGUUUCAUUGAACUCUAAUGGUGAACAAGGCCAGAAGCCAAAGAGUAGAGUUUACGACAAACUUGCAAGCAAAAUUGUCAUGCAGUUGUCCUUUCACUAUGUACUGACACACUGUUGUGUCCCUGGCCCUAUCUUCUUGCAUUCUCUCCAGUUUGGCUUGAUCCCCUUUGGACCCUACUGUCCUGCUCACUCCUCCCCUCUCAUCUCUUCUCUCUUUAAAUUACCUGCUCUGUAACUCACCCCAAACAGCCUUUUUCCGGGCUCAUCAAAGAAGAGGCAGUGCCAACCAAUGAAUAGUCUCAAAUGAUCCCUUUGAAAAAUCUUCAGUGGGAGUCAGUUGUGUAUAAACAACUGAAAAUGAGACUUUCAGACUUCCGUUUUGGUGCUUAAUGAUGCACCUCUACCCAGACUCUAUAUCAAACUUGGGGGUGGAGGGAGAGAAGGAAUUUUCCUUUUUGUUCUUUUUUGUUUUUGCUGUUUGAAACAGCACUCUGAUAAAUAUUCUCACCAAUUCUUACCCUCUUGUAUUUUUUAUUUUGGAGAAUUUGUCUCCCAAAUUAAGAUUUAUUGGUCAAAGGAAUGUGCAUUUAUCAUAUUGAAAUAGAUUUGACAGAUCUCUUUCCCAAAAUGCAUAGCAAUUCCUGAUCACACAGCACUGUGUGAGGUUGCCAAUUUCCCCUCAUAUCUCAUAUUCACCAGCUCUGGUUGUUUUCACCUUUUUUUUUUUUUUUUUUUUUUUUUUUUAAUGGCCACACCUUCAGCAUAUGGAAGGUCUGAGUACAGGAGUCAAAUUGGAGCUGAAGGUGCAGGCCUACACAACAGCCACAGCAGCACCAUAUAUAAGCCACAUCUGUGACCUAUGCCACAGCUUGCAGCAAUGCUGGAUACUUAACCCACUGAGUGAGGUUAGGAAUCAAACCUGAAUCCUCCAGGACACAAUGUUGAGUUCUUGACCCACAAGCCACUCUUGUUCUUGUUCUCCUUUUCCUCCUUUUUCUUUUUCUUCUCCUUCUCCCUCUCUUCCUUCUCCUCCUUCUUCUUUUUCAUUUACAGAUAUUGAUAAGGCUUCAAAAAAAAAAAACAUUGUAAGAAGUAAUCAGCACAUUCCAAGUGUUUAAGUGGAAUCAUUGAUAUAUUCCAAGUAAUAGGUUGAGUCUUAAAGAUAUUCAUAGUAAAGUUUAUUUUACCAAGAAUUUUGUUAUUGUGGAUCAAAAUCAUGGGUGUUAAAAACAAACAGAAAGGUCUUUGUAGGUAAACAGCCCAUUUGCAGACAAUCAAAUUUCCUCCUGCUGCAUGAGAACAGCUAUCCCCUGCUGCUUAUGGCUCCCAAAGAGUGAAAUGAUGGGGGCAGUGAGGGAGGUUGGGGGAGAGCUCACCACAUGCUCACCACUUGCCUUUAGAUUUUAGGAGAGCCCAACCAUGACUUUCAGAAAAUGCAGUGUGUCCCUUUCCUCUGAACUCAAAAUCACAAG